rnacentral:rRNA from 1 species
AUUGAACGCUGGCGGCAGGCCUAACACAUGCAAGUCGAGCGAGCGGCGGACGGGUGAGUAAUGUCUGGGAAACUGCCUGAUGGAGGGGGAUAACUACUGGAAACGGUAGCUAAUACCGCAUACCCUCAGAUGUGCCCAGAGGGGGUUAGCUAGUAGGUGGGGUAACGGCGCACCUAGGCGACGAUCCCUAGCUGGUCUGAGAGGAUGACCAGCCACCCUGGAACUGGGACACGGGCCAGACUCCUACGGUAGUCAGACGUGGGGAAUAUGGAACAAUGGGCGCAAGCCUGAUGCAGCCAUCCGGCGUGUGUGAAUAAGGCCUUCGGGUUGUAAAGCACGUUCAGCGGGGAGGCGUUACCCGCAGAAGAAGCACCGGCUAACUCCGUGCCAGCAGCCGCGGUAAUAC